GUAGGUGAACCUGCGGAAGGAUCAUUACUGAGUUAGGGUCUUUCGGGGCCCGACCUCCAACCCUUUGCUUACCCUACUAUUGUUGCUUCGGCGAGUCCGUCUCUUGAUUGAGACCGCCGGAGGGGUUCGCCCUUCUGGCCCGCGCUCGUCGAUAGCCCUUAUUAAACUAUUGUUAAAAUGUGUCGUCUAAGUAAAGCACUUAAUAAAUUAAAACUUUCAACAACGGAUCUCUUGGUUCUG
rnacentral:misc_RNA from 1 species